UCCAGACUAAUAUGAAUUCAAUAAAACGAGGUUCCCCUCCUCCACCUCAAACCGUGAUUAUGUGUAUUAUGUAACCGUAAUGUUUCCAGACUAAUAUGAAUUCAAUAAAACGAGGAGCUCUGGUUGUAUUCGAGGGAUGUGAUAGAUCCGGUAAAACUACGCAGAUUCAGAAGUUGGUGAAUAGAUUAAACGAGGAGGGAACACCGGCAAAGAUGAUGAGGUUUCCUGAGAGAACUACAGGGAUAGGAGCACUGAUAGAUCAGUAUCUAAGCUGUAAUAAAGAACUGGAUGAUCACGUGGUGCAUCUUCUCUUCUCUGCGAACAGAUGGGAACUGGUGGAUGAAAUUAAGAAAUCUGUAGAAAGUGGAGUAACUGUACUGAUAGAUAGAUACGCGUUCAGUGGAGUUGCAUUUUCUGCUGCGAAGGCUGGUAUGAGUUUAAAGUGGUGUAAGGAGCCAGAUGUAGGAUUACCACAACCAGACCUUGUCUGUUUUCUAAACGUAUCAGAGGAGGUUGCAAAGGCCAGAGCAGACUUCGGAGGAGAAAGAUAUGAAAAAACAGAGUUCCAAGUUAGAGUUAGGGAAAACUAUGAUCUACUAAAUGAUGAUACUUGGGUUCACGUGAACGCUGACCUAACUAUGGAGGAAGUACACGCCUCAAUAUACGAAAUAGUAACGGACGAGGUUGAAAGAGUAAAGAAACCCCUGGGGAGAUUAUGGGAGAAGGAAGAGGAAGAAGAAUACGAGGAUAGUAAUCACACUGUUACCUGAUUUAAAACAGAACAACUCUAACCUAUAUAUUUCUAUCAAGUUUUAAUUUUUUUCAGAAAUAUGUUGAAAAGAUUGGAAAAGGGAAUCUCAGAGUUGAUCCAAGUUCAUAGAGAGCAUCUAGAGAUAUGGAGAUCUUCGGAGAAGGAAUUGGAAAGGUUGGAGGCCGGAUACAAAAACCAUAGAGAUCAAAGGGAGCUGUUUAUAAAGAUGGAUAUCUCGAAAACGGAGUUAGGAAUCAUGUUUCCAAACACCAAAGAGAAACUCAUCUCUAAACUAGAGAUCAAGAUCUCAGAUCUAGACUCCAGACUCCGAGAUAAACUGGAGAUUAUGGAAACCCAGAAGAACACAGUUCUGAGGUUAGCUGCGGAGUGUGCUCAAGCUGCCGAGGGGGUGGAGUUUAGUGAAAUGAUGGGAAUCAAGAAUAUUCAGUUAGAAACUGGUUUUCUAGUUGAGUUCUGCUUUGACCUAGAGCAGACCUAUCUCAAUACUAUCAACCAUAUGCUUCAUUUUCUAUCCAUCAAUAGUACAGCUGACAAGUUCUUUGAUAUUUCACAUUUUGAAAAUGUUUUAAGUGAUUAUUAUUUGUUAUGAUUGUUUCAGAAAGAAUGGAGUGGUUGUUUGGCAGGAAGUUGACCCCGGAUGAGAUGCUGAGGAAGAAUCAGCGAGCUCUCACAAAAGCGAUGAGAGAGUUGGAUAGAGAAAGAGCAAAGAUGGAACAACAAGAGAAGAAAAUUAUUGCAGACAU
rnacentral:misc_RNA from 1 species